rnacentral:misc_RNA from 1 species
GAUGAAGAACGUAGCGAAAUGCGAUAAGUAAUGUGAAUUGCAGAAUUCAGUGAAUCAUCGAAUCUUUGAACGCAACUUGCGCUCCUUGGCAUUCCGAGGAGCAUGCCUGUUUGAGUGUCAUGAAACUAUCAAGCUACAAAUGUUCUUGUUAGCAUUUGUUGGUUUGGACAUUGGAUGCUUUGCUGGACAAUAUUGUACAGCUCAUCCGAAAUUUAUUAGCUGGUCUAAAUACCUUGGACUAUAUCCACUUGGCGUGAUAAGUAUCACCCGCUGAGGACUUGUUCAUUGGAGGUUGACUGCUUCUAGUAACCCAAUUAUAUUUGAAUCAUCUGACCUCAAAUCAGGUAGGACUACCCGCUGAACUUAAGCAUAUCACUAAGCGGAGGA